rnacentral:rRNA from 1 species
CCCCGGAGUAAUAAAAAACCCCCGAGCGGACUGAAGACACCCUAGCUUCAUAAUAUAGAGCCGCAGCUCACAAAAC